rnacentral:rRNA from 1 species
AGAACGAACGCUGGCGGCAUGCCUAAUACAUGCAAGUCGAACGAACACUUCGGUGUUAGUGGCGCACGGGUGCGUAACGCGUGGGAAUCUGCCCUUGGGUUCGGAAUAACAGUUGGAAACGACUGCUAAUACCGGAUGAUGACGAAAGUCCAAAGAUUUAUCGCCCAGGGAUGAGCCCGCGUAGGAUUAGCUAGUUGGUGAGGUAAAGGCUCACCAAGGCGACGAUCCUUAGCUGGUCUGAGAGGAUGAUCAGCCACACUGGGACUGAGACACGGCCCAGACUCCGUACGGGAGCAGCGGCAGGGAAUAGUU